rnacentral:rRNA from 1 species
UACGGAGGGGGCUAGCGUUGUUCGGAAUUACUGGGCGUAAAGCGCACGUAGGCGGCUUUGUAAGUUAGAGGUGAAAGCCCGGGGCUCAACUCCGGAAUUGCCUUUAAGACUGCAUCGCUAGAAUUGUGGAGAGGUAAGUGGAAUUCCGAGUGUAGAGGUGAAAUUCGUAGAGAUCCGGAAGAACACCGGUGGCGAAGGCGGCCUGCUGGGCAGUGGCUGACACUGAGGCGCGACAGCGUGGGGAGCAAACAGG